rnacentral:rRNA from 1 species
GGCAAGUAUAGAAAGAAACUAUUAAGGAUAAUUAGCUAUAUAUUAAAGAAUAACUAGUCAACUAGUUUCUAAGAAAAAUCAGAUAAUAAACGAAGUGAAUUGAAAUAUCUCAGUAACUUCAGGAAAAUAAAUCAAACGAGAUUGUAAUUUAGUGGCUGCUAAAUUAUAAAAGCCUAACAAUCAAACUGUUAAAGUAAAAUGGAUUAAAAUCUGUUCGAAUAAAGGGGAACCUUCCUCUAAGGCUAAAUAUGAUAUAUAAGCAAUAGUGAAAAGUACCGAGAGGUAAAAUUUGAAAUAGUAGUUUUAUAAGCAGCUCGAGUUAAAAUUUUAAUAAAUAAUAAGAGCGUACCUUUUGCAUAAUGGGUCAGCAAGUUAAUUUUAGAUGCAAGCAAGUGAAUAACAGCUUAGAGAAACCAAUUAUGAAAAAAUGAAUGAGUAUCUAGAAUUAGACCCGAAGGCUAGUGAUCUUACCAUGAUCAGGGUUAUAAAGGCCUGAACGGGUUAUCGUUGUAUAGAUAUCCGAAGAAUUGUGGUAAGUUAGUGAAAGACAAAACUGACUAGUAUAGCUGGUUUUCCGCGAAACCUAUAUUAGUAGGUAAUUUAAUUAACAUCUUAGCAGGUACAGAACUGUGAUCUCGGACAAAUUUUUGUCAACAUCGGGGGAUUGUAGUGAUUUUACCGGAGAGUAUUUGCACUCGGAAGGGCAAAGAUGAAUAUUGAAUAAUCGGACAUAGUGCGAUAAGGUUGUAUGUCUAAAGGGAAACAGCCCAGAACAAGAGUUAAGGUUCCAAAAUUAUUGUCAAGUGAAAUAAAGGAUGUUUUUUUUUAAAACAAUCAGGAGAUAGGCUUAGAAGCAGCCAUUUUUUGAAGACCUCGUAACAGAGCACUGAUUAAUAUCGUAGAAAGAGAUGCCGAAAAUUUAACGGAUCUAAACAAUAUACCGAAACCUUGUACACAUAUAUAUAUAUUAGUUUUAAUUGUAUAUGUGGGGUAGCGGAACAUUGGAUGAAUAUUAACUGUUAUUUCUUUUUAAGAAAUAGUAAUAUAAAUAAUGUUUUUAUUAUUAAAUAUUUAUUUAUUGAUAUAAUCCAAGAGAGAAUGCUGACAUGAGUAACGAAAAAGGAAAAACCUCGCCUAAAGCUUAUGGUAUUCUAUUUAAUUUUCGGUAUCUAAAAAUAUUAAUCAAAAGGUAAUUUUGAUGAAAUUUUUUAUAUAUAACUUAAAAGUUAAAAAAGAAAACCUUUAAAUAGUAAUAAAGGUUCUGGAAAAUUUUUUAAUUUAGAUAAUAUUAUUAUAAACUUGUUGUCUUUAUGCAUAUUUAUUUUAAAUAUUACAUUAUCUGUAUAAUUUCUUAUUAUAGUUUGUAAGAUUGUAUUGUAUAAGUAAUAUUAAUUAAUAUGUAAAAGUAAAUAAUAUUAUUAUUACAUAUUAUAUUUUAACAUAUAAAGACAAUAAAAUAAUAUAAUAUGUAAUCCUUUAUAAGGAUAAGACUAUAUAAUAGUCUUUAAGUUUUAUAUAUAACCGUACCUAGAUACUAUCACAAGUAAGCAAGUAGAGAAUACGAAGGCGUUUGAGUGAACAAUCAUUAAGGAACUCGGCAAAUUGACUCUGUAACUUCGGAAUAAAGAGGGCCAUUUUUAUUAGGUUUAACAUACUAUUAAGUAUGAUAAAAUUAAACUAAUAUAAAUAGGUAGCAUAGAAUAAUGUUGUACGACUGUUUAAUAAAAACACAGCACUUUGCAAAGAUAAAAUAUCAAAGUAUUGAGUGUGAUGUCUGCCCAAUGUCGGCAGGGUAACGAAUGUACCUUAAGUAUUAACUAAGGUAUUGAAGGACACCCCGAUGAAUGGCGGCCUUACCUAUGAGGGUCCAAAGGUAGCGAAAUACCUUGGCCGUUAAAUGCGGUCCUGCAUGAAUGACCUAACGAUACAACAGCUGUCUCGAUGAUUGUCUCAGUGAAAUUGGAAUAGCAGUGCAGAUACUGUUUACCUCUAGAUAGACGAGAAGACCCUAUGCAGCUUUACUGUUACCAGUUGCAAAAGUGAAAGAAAAAGGAUGAUUUAUAGAGUAUAAGGCAAUCGUAAGAUAACAUGUGAAACACCUUUAAUCGUUCCUUAGAAAUGCUUUUGAGGACUGGAAGGCAGUUUAUGCGGGGCACAGAUCCCACAAAAAGUACCUGGGUAUAUCCAAAGUUCAUAUUGUAAACUUGUAAAUUUUUUUUACAAAUAUUUUAAUUUGUUAUUAAUUAUAUUUAUAAUUAUACGGUUAUUUUUAGAUUAGAUUCUAGAUAAUGUUUUAUCCAAGUAAGAUUUUAACUAUAUGGUGAAUAGAUGUAUUUUAAACUUUAAUAUAAAAUUAAAAGUUUAUUAUCAUAUUAAUAUGUGUAUUAUUAAUUUAUCAUUAUUAAUAUGGUAGUUAUUAAUACUUUAAAGGUUUAAUGGCUUAAUCUUGCUUUACUGUUUGACCUACAAGUCUAUCAGUCGCGUAAGCGGGGCAUAUGAUCACAAGAUGCAUAAAGGAAAGGUCUUGGAUUAAAGAAAAAGUUACGCUAGGGAUUUAUAACUGUGAGUCCUCCAAUAUUUUAAAAUAUUGGUAAU